rnacentral:lncRNA from 1 species
UUGUUGGAGGCAUUAAUGGAUUGGAGAUAAAUAAUAAUUGUGAAGCUGGAAAUCCUUAAAUGCUUUCAGAGGGACAUCAGGUAAGAACAUUAAACUUCUUAUUUCAAAUGAAAUUUAAACCUAUAAUAUGUCAUAGCCAUUAGGACUAAAAAAAAUAGACUGAAGCAGGAACUUUAUUCAUCUCAAUGGCUGGAAUUUUCACUGUCGUCAGGUGUAUGUUAAUGAUAGAUAAUUAUGCUUCUGUAGCAACAAGUUAUUUAAUACUUUGUGGCAAUUUUCAAUUAAUAUUUCUUGUAAUUAGUACUAAACUCACAUUGUACCCCUGACUUACAAGAGAGCCUUAUAUAACAUUUUCAAAUUUUUAUGUUAUAAUUUUACUUUUCAGGUAAAAGAGUGAGUUCCAGCAACAUAUUUCUUCUAAAAUAUGUGAUCAGAUAUAGAAUUUUAUGGUUAUUAAUGGUUUUGGAGGAAAAUGAACAGAAGUUUCGGAAAAAGUUAAAGAUUAUGUAUGUUGCGGAGAAAGAUGUCAUUCAGGCGAUCAACCAGAAAUGUGCUGAUGCCAGGUCAACGUUAGCAGCAUCGUGCAAAAAAACAAACUUAACAUUUAUGACAACGCACUGAAAAUUUGCUGUGUAUAUAAUUUUACUUAUAGCGUUAAAUUUUUUAGUGAAAUGACAUUGUUGAUAUUUAAUUAACUUCAUUUUUUCUUUCUAAAAUGCUAUUUUAUGUAUAUAAACUGUUCUAUUUUUAGUUAGAAGAAACCCCUGAACAUUGUAAAUAUUAACUUCGUUAUUUUUUUUGUUAUUGGUGAUUUUUUGGACUGAAAUGCUCAAUGUACAUAAAGUUUAAACUUAAAUUAAUAAAGUGAUAGUAACAAUAUGUGCUGCUUUUAUAUCAUUAUUCUGCUGUGGACACAUGGUUAAUAUGUACGAUUUGUGUUGGCCAUACCUGUAACUUAGCUUGAUUAUAAUUGUGCAUAAUCAUCAAUUGACAGAAAUUUAUUGAAAACUGUACUUGCUGACAGUGAAUUUUAAUAUAUAACCUUCAUAUUGUACCUU